GGCACCCACAAAAGGGAUCUGAGAAAAGGGCACGGAUGUUCUCCCCCCGACAUGCAGAACAACUGAAAGAGGCCAGAAGCCAGAGCACUGUACCUCCUCUGAGGUCCAAAUCCGAGGCUGCAGUGACACAACAGGAGGAAGGAAGCAGAGAGUCAUUCCCCGGAGUCAGGCGGGGCUCGUCCCACACUAACUGGAGUUCUUUCCCGGAGUCAAAUACAUUUGGUUUGAAUCCCAGUUCCGCUGUGUGUUGAAUGGCAAGUUCUAGCUUAACUCUCCCGCCUGGUUCCUCCUUUCCCUGCCGCAACUAUGCAGUAAUCACUGACCUGUAAGUUAGAGCUUUGUGAUCUUGGGUAAACCAAAGAAUCCACAAUCCCAGUUGUGGAUUUCUAAUCUGUGAGGAAGGUUGUUGUGAAAACUGGAGAUAAAAAUUACUUAAUGAAAUGCAUGACAUAUGGUGAACAUUUAAUAAAUGGUAGUUAUUAUAACACUAUUAUUAUUAGAAAAUUUUUCUUUCAGUGCUUUUAAAAUCUUGAAAAGAGUAAGAAAAAAGAGGACAGAUUGUCUGCUUUUUGUGUACAGGCAUGAAGGAAUUCUUACGAUUCAACCUCUGACCUAUGGGUCAGUUGGUGAAUACAGUUUGAGGGAGGAAAGGAGAAACAAGGAGAGAUGUUAAAGAUAUGAUUUGUUAUUAAAUAUGC
rnacentral:lncRNA from 1 species